CCUGGGUGGCACAGUCGGUUAAGCAUCUAACUCUUGAUCUUGGUUCAGGUCAUGAUCUCACAGUUCAUGAGUUCCAUCCCCAUAUCGGGCUCACUGCUGUCAGCCCAGAGCCUG